ensembl:snRNA U6 U6 spliceosomal RNA
GUGCUCACUUUGGCAACACAUAUACUAAAAUUGGAACGAUACAGAGAAGAUUAUGGCCCCUGCACAAGGAUGACACAUAAAUUUGUGAAGCAUUCUAUAUUUUU